GUGAGACACACUGCGUAAAUAAGUGCAAGAGUUACGUUGAAACACCGGGCACGCGACGCGACCGCGUGCGCACCCCCCUUCCGUUUCAAAACAUUGGCGGUCCGUUCCCCAUUUUUUUUUGUUUUCGACCUGUUUUUGCGAUAGGUCAACUUUGAACUGAAGUUUAUGUCAAAACGAUUUGGUU
ensembl:ncRNA K08A8.4 ncRNA